GAUGAACGCUGGCGGCGUGCCUAAUACAUGCAAGUCGAGCGAAUGGAUUAAGAGCUUGCUCUUAUGAAGUUAGCGGCGGACGGGUGAGUAACACGUGGGUAACCUGCCCAUAAGACUGGGAUAACUCCGGGAAACCGGGGCUAAUACCGGAUAACAUUUUGAACCGCCUGGUUCGAAAUUGAAAGGCGGCUUCGGCUGUCACUAAUGGAUGGACCCGCGUCGCAUUAGCUAGUUGGUGAGGUAACGGCUCACCAAGGCAACGAUGCGUAGCCGACCUGGGAGGGUGAUCGGCCACACUGGGACUGAGACACGGCCCAGACUCCUACGGGAGGCAGCAGUAGGGAAUCUUCCGCAAUGGACGAAAGUCUGACGGAGCAACGCCGCGUGAGUGAUGAGGGCUUUCGGGUCGUAAAACUCUGUUGUUAGGGAAGAACAAGUGCUAGUUGAAUAAGCUGGCACCUUGACGGUACCUAACCAGAAAGCCACGGCUAACUACGUGCCAGCCGCCGCAGUAA
rnacentral:rRNA from 1 species